GGGGAAGCCGGUGCAAUUCCGGCGCUGACCCGCAACCGUGAGCCGUCCGCCGAGACGGUGAGCCGGAAUGCCC
rnacentral:ncRNA from 1 species